GUCUGGUGAGGGCCUUCCCCCAGGUUUGCAGACAGCGUUUUCUCGCUGUGUCCUCUCUUGGUGGCGAGGGCGCUGGGAAGAGGAAGCUCUCUCAUGCCUGUUUUUUAAGGGCACAAAUCCUGUUCCUAGGGUCCCACUCACAUGACCUAUAACCUGCCAAAGGCCCCAUCAUGAGAUACCAUCACACAGGAGACUAAGUCACAACACACGGAGUUCCUGGGAAUCCGUGACAGCUACAAAGCUUCCUGCGGCACCAUGGGGUGAAGAAUAGUUCUUUGAUUCAUCAGUUAUCUUUUCUGCACGGCCAUUUCUUCAUGUCAUCAAUGAAGAGCACUCAGAAUUCAUCCCUCCCGAUCUCCCCACAGAGCCAGGUCCCCCGGGAGUAGAUGGAGCACUCUCCGAUGUCUGAAAGGAAAGCACGACUACUUUGAACACAUUUUCCUAUCUCCUUCACUGCCCAAUGCCCGUGGAACUUUUGUGUCUGUAUGCAGGAAGCGUGACGACAGUCAGGCAAACAUUUCAUUUGCUUCUUCAAAGGCAUCUUCUGGUGUGUGCAGGACCCGAUGGAGGAGUGAUGAGACCUCAGAGCCAUGUCCAGGCUCUUCCAGUCAGUUGGUGGCCUCCACAAAUGCCAGCCAGCCCGCCCAAUGCAAGCUUCUGCUUGGCCAACGUGUAGCAGUUACGAUGCAGCAAUUGGAAGAGGCUGUGGGGAUCAGUAAUUCCAGUGGGGGAGCGACGGACACCCCUAAGAACCCAUUCCACGAUUUUAGUCCCAAAUUGGAUUUUGCUUGGAGAAAUUCUCUGCCCUGUAGUAGUGGUUUUUAAGAUCACAGAUAUUGGAGUAAGAAAGACAAGGCUCUUCUAUUUGCUGGUCUAUUGACUCACAGGGGAAUACCAGAGAACUUGGCAUCCAGAAAACAGUCAACAAAUGAAGACAGUGCAACUAAGACCUGGGCGCCAUGUUCCUUCCCUAAGGCUCAUUUCACUAGGAUGCUGUGUCAGCACGCGCACACACACACACACACACACUCACACACUCCAGGAAGCCUCUAAAAGAAAUGCAAGUGUUCUCCAGUAGAAGGAGCAUCGCUGAAAUUUACUCAACAGCACGGUCUUCGUGUCUUUCCCUCCCAGGCCCACACUCUCAGCUGCCUCCUCCCCUCUCGCUCCUUUCCUCCUGUGUUCUCCAGCAAGGGUGAGGACCCACUGUCAUUCAGAAAACCUCCUCCUAGUUUUUCUAUGCAGGGAGUCAUUCACACAUCCAGCAAGGAAAACAGGGGCUUGUGCAGACUCUCCUUGGGAGGUAAUGGGAGAGGGAUUCUAAAUGCUUGUCACAUUUUUACCUGACACUGUUACUACCAUGUAACUACUAAUAACUAAUGCCAACUUCUGAAUCAUAUUUCCUAUCAUCUUAUGAGAGAGAACUCUGUGGUGUAUAAACACCAAAUCACAAAUCUCCACUUUACAUUCUUGUUUGUCUACUUGUUUGUCUGUUUUCCACUGCAGUGCAGGAGCCCGUGGAGGAGACCCGGUUUCCAGCACCGAGGGGCUCAAGAAUCUCAGGUCACCUGUGAGAUGAGCUCUGAGCACUUGCCCACACUCCUGAGCAUGAACAUAAAGCCCCAUCACAUGCAGUGGCAGAUGGUUAAGACAACAACCAACCAUCUCGUCAGAUAAAAGCUUCGCUCCACUUAAAGUGGAUGAUUUUUAAAUUUGUUUGUAAAACCUUUGAUAUUUGACUACUAAGAAAUUAUAAGAUCCCUAUGGACAGGCAACUAAUUUUCUACAUUUCCUGGUUCUUUAAAAAUAAAUAAUUGUCAUAGGUCCUUAUUAAAGCUCUCAGAAUUGUACUUUUGAUUUCUAAUAAAUGCCAAAAUAUAUCUUAUCAAAUAUUUACAGUGGAGUCAGGCAUAAAGUCUAUAACCUCAAGAACAUGAACUGUCAAUUUAUACUACCGUGGACUCAAUUUGGCAAGUUAAGGGGUGAGGAAUGGGAUUUCAGGAAAAGCCAAAGGGUCUAAUUGUUUAUGAUACAUAUUUUAAGUAUCUGUCAUAAAAUGUGACCAAGCCUGUUGUAUUCUUUGAAUAGCUGAUUUCCCUGUUUUAUCCCCUCUUUGAGUUAUUUUCAUACAGUUUCACAGAUAACUGCAAUACUUUUUCUUAACCUGAGAUUUCUGAAGUUAAUAUGAUGGAACUGCUGUGUGACACUGGAAUUCGGACUGAGGGCGUUGAAGAAGAACAGGGCUUCCUCCCAGCCAAGGGCUCUUUAAUGCGGAGCCUGGAGCAGCCCAGAAAUCUUGCAGCAAAUCUACAAGAUGGGCCGUGACCGGGUCAAACGGAAAUCUCUUUCAGUACUUUGUUC
rnacentral:lncRNA from 1 species